rnacentral:rRNA from 1 species
CAAAAACAUAGCCCCAGAUAAAAUCUGAGGUGUAACCUGCCCAGUGGUUUUAAAAUAAAAAGAUAAAAUCUUUGAAAUAAAACUAAAAGGACGCGGUAACCUUGACCGUGAUAACGUAGCAUAAUCACUCGCCAUUUAAUUGAUGGAUAGUAUGAAUGGUUGAACGAAUAUUCCACUGUCUUAAAAAGAAUCAAAUAAAAUUAAAAUAAUAGUUAAGAUGCUAUUUUAAAUUGUAAGACGAAAAGACCCUAUAGAGCUUAACUAUAACUUUUUUAUGUCAAUAAAAACAAAAAUUUUGAAUUUAGAAAAGUUGGUAGUUUAGUUGGGGCGACUACCUUCUAGAUUAAACGAAGGUAAGCAAAGUUUAUAAAAAACUUAUUAUAUAAACAAACUAUUUAAUAAUUAUAAAAGUAGGCUAUAAUGACCCGUUAGUUUUUAAUAAAAAAUCUAACGAUCAAUUAAUAAAAGCUACCU